rnacentral:rRNA from 1 species
GAUGAACGCUGGCGGCGUGCCUAAUACAUGCAAGUCGAGCGAACAGAUAAGGAGCUUGCUCCUUUGACGUUAGCGGCGGACGGGUGAGUAACACGUGGGUAACCUACCUAUAAGACUGGGAUAACUUCGGGAAACCGGAGCUAAUACCGGAUAAUAUUUCGAACCGCAUGGUUCGAUAGUGAAAGAUGGUUUUGCUAUCACUUAUAGAUGGACCCGCGCCGUAUUAGCUAGUUGGUAAGGUAACGGCUUACCAAGGCGACGAUACGUAGCCGACCUGAGAGGGUGAUCGGCCACACUGGAACUGAGACACGGUCCAGACUCCUACGGGAGGCAGCAGUAGGGAAUCUUCCGCAAUGGGCGAAAGCCUGACGGAGCAACGCCGCGUGAGUGAUGAAGGUCUUCGGAUCGUAAAACUCUGUUAUUAGGGAAGAACAUACGUGUAAGUAACUGUGCACGUCUUGACGGUACCUAAUCAGAAAGCCACGGCUAACUACGUGC